AUCAUUACACAAAUAUGAAGGCGGGCUGGAACCUCUCGGGGUUACAGCCUUGCUGAAUUAUUCACCCUUGUCUUUUGCGUACUUCUUGUUUCCUUGGUGGGUUCGCCCACCACUAGGACAAACAUAAACCUUUUGUAAUUGCAAUCAGCGUCAGUAACAAAUUAAUAAUUACAACUUUCAACAACGGAUCUCUUGGUUCUGGCAUCGAUGAAGAACGCAGCGAAAUGCGAUAAGUAGUGUGAAUUGCAGAAUUCAGUGAAUCAUCGAAUCUUUGAACGCACAUUGCGCCCUUUGGUAUUCCAAAGGGCAUGCCUGUUCGAGCGUCAUUUGUACCCUCAAGCUUUGCUUGGUGUUGGGCGUCUUGUCUCUAGCUUUGCUGGAGACUCGCCUUAAAGUAAUUGGCAGCCGGCCUACUGGUUUCGGAGCGCAGCACAAGUCGCACUCUCUAUCAGCAAAGGUCUAGCAUCCAUUAAGCCUUUUUUUCGACUUUUGACCUCGGAUCAGGUAGGGAUACCCGCUGAACUUAAGCAUAUCA
rnacentral:rRNA from 1 species